rnacentral:rRNA from 1 species
ACGUAGGGUGCAAGCGUUAAUCGGAAUUACUGGGCGUAAAGCGUGCGCAGGCGGAUGUUUAAGCCAGAUGUGAAAUCCCCGAGCUUAACUUGGGAAUUGCGUUUGGAACUGGACGUCUAGAGUCUGUCAGAGGGGGAUGGAAUUCCUGGUGUAGCGGUGAAAUGCGCAGAUAUCAGGAAGAACACCCGUGGCGAAGGCGGCUCUCUGGGACGGUACUGACGCUGAGACGCGAAAGCGUGGGGAGCGAACAGGA